GUGGGGAAUCUUGCGCAAUGGGCGAAAGCCUGACGCAGCCAUGCCGCGUGGAUGAUGAAGGUCUUAGGAUUGUAAAAUCCUUUCACCGGUGAAGAUAAUGACUGUAGCCGGAGAAGAAGCCCCGGCUAACUUCGUGCCAGCAGCCGCGGUAAUACGAAGGGGGCUAGCGUUGCUCGGAUUUACUGGGCGUAAAGGGCGCGUAGGCGGACAUUUAAGUCAGGGGUGAAAUCCCGGGGCUCAACCUCGGAACUGCCUUUGAUACUGGGUGUCUUGAGUAUGAGAGAGGUGUGUGGAACUCCGAGUGUAGAGGUGAAAUUCGUAGAUAUUCGUAAGAACACCAGUGGCGAAGGCGACACACUGGCUCAUUACUGACGCUGAGGCGCGAAAGCGUGGGGAGCAAACAGGAUUAGAAACCCGUGUAGUCC
rnacentral:rRNA from 1 species